rnacentral:rRNA from 1 species
GACGAACGCUGGCGGCGUGCUUAACACAUGCAAGUCGAACGGAAAGGCCCUGCUUUUGUGGGGUGCUCGAGUGGCGAACGGGUGAGUAACACGUGAGUAACCUGCCCUUGACUUUGGGAUAACUUCAGGAAACUGGGGCUAAUACCGGAUAGGAGCUCCUGCUGCAUGGUGGGGGUUGGAAAGUUUCGGCGGUUGGGGAUGGACUCGCGGCUUAUCAGCUUGUUGGUGGGGUAGUGGCUUACCAAGGCUUUGACGGGUAGCCGGCAUGAGAGGGUGACCGGCCACAUUGGGCCUGAGAUACGGCGCAGACUCCUACGGGAGGCAGCAGUGGGGAAUAUUGCACAAUGGGCGGAAGCCUGAUGCAGCAACGCCGCGGGCGGGAUGACGGCCUUCGGGUUGUAAACCGCUUUCGCCUGUGACGAAGCGUGAGUGACGGUAAUGGGUAAAGAAGCACCGGCUAACUACGUG